rnacentral:tRNA from 2 species
ACUUUUAAAGGAAAACAGUU